UUUAAAAUCUCCUGAAUAUAUACUCCUCUUUGGCUCGUCUGUUUUUUCCCUUCUCUUUUUUACCUUGCUGACCCAAGAAGAGAAAGAAAGCACAAAGAACAAAUUUGUCCGAUAAUCCUACAUACAAAACAUCCAGGUUCUACUAAGCUUGUUCCGUUUUGAUGCAUACGUAUAUAUCGAAUCAUGCGUAUUUGUCUGAAUUUAGCUGUGUUUUGUGUACUCUAGAAGAGUCUACUGAUUCUCCUGUUGUUCUUGCCAAUUGAAAGGGAUGAAUCUCUUACUUUGGAACCCUGCAUAAUUCCUGUUCUUUUGCUAAUUUUUGUGUAACUGGAGUUAAAUGGAUGAACUUGUGGAAGGAUGCCCAUAUUCUAGGUCAGUUAAUUUGUUCGGCUUUGACCAAAUAUUGGUUCCUUCUUCAUCUGAUCACAACCUAGUAAAUGGACUCGAAUACCUAAUUCCAAAUCUUCCCCAUCAGACUAAUUUAGCUCCAUCUCCCUGCAAGGGGUCGGACGAGAACAAUGUAAGCGAAGCUGUACUCAAUUACAUAACCGAGAUGCUUAUGGAAGAUGACGAUGAUGACUGGGAAAACCAGCCCGGUUUGAUUCAGGACAGCUUGGCUCUCCAAGCUACCGAGAAAUCCUUGUACGAUGUCCUUCAUAACCCACCGAGUAUAUGUGAGGAUGCCAAGAGCCCGGUUGAUGAUUUCACUUGGACUAGGAGUAGUCUUACUUUUGAUAGUUGUGUGUCUGCUGACAAGAUUAUUGAUUCCAACUCGAUUGGUGAUCGAAAUAAGCUUGGAUUUUCUCGUGUUGGUCGCGACUUGGACUACGUUAUUCAGUCUGAUACGAUAUCGUUUGGUUCUUCGAGUGUUUUUCAUGGGACAGUGGACUCUCUUGUUAGUUCGUUUCAGGUUUUAGAUCCGUCCAUGGUGAGCCAAGCCAACUCCCAGUUUACACUCAUAUACCCAAAGGAAGAACAUGAGAAUUACAUCUUAGAGCAAAAUGAAAAGGCACUGGCUGAGGUUGAGAAGAAUUUUGGGGAACACUUAAUGUGUCGAUUGAGUGGAACGAAAAACCACUACGAUGAGGAUGGUAGUUAUUGGGAAGUGGGCCGGAGUAACAAGCAGUUGGCCAGUUAUGAUAGAGACUCCGACGAGCAAUCCGGGAUGUAUGAGGUGUUGCUUUGUCCUGCAAUGAAUCCUCAUCUGCACAAGGAGGAGUCUUCAGCCAGUAUUGUUUAUGAAGCCUCACGCAAUGGAUUGGGUGGGAAAUUGCAGAAGAAUGUGCAGUCAAAAGGACCAAGUGGAGGAAAGGCACGAUGUAAGAAACAAGGCAAGAGAAGGGAAGUGGUUGAUCUGAUGACUCUCUUAACUCGGUGUGCACAAGCUGUGGCGAGAAUCGAUAGCACAACUGCUAAUGAAUUGCUGACGCAGAUCCGCCAACACUCUUCUCCUAAUGGAAAUGGUACUGAAAGAACGGCCCAUUACUUAGCAGAUGCCCUUGAGGCGCGCCUCGCUGGCACCGGGAGAGCAUUGGAUGCAUCGCAUUUGAGCAAGAGGCUAACAGCUGCUGAAUCCCUAGCAGCUUACGUGGCAUUUGUUAAAGCAAUCCCUUUCAGAAAGAUGAUGGAUUUCUUCGCAAACAAGAUGAUUUGGAAACUUACGGAGAAAGCAACGCGGCUACACAUAAUUGAUUUUGGAAUCAAACAUGGCUUUCAAUGGCCCGGCCUUUUUCAGCAUCUCUCCCUGAGACCCGGUGGGCCUCCUAGUGUUCGUCUUACUGGAAUAGACUUUCCCCUACCUGGUUUUCGGCCUGCAGAGAGGGUUGAGGAGACCGGACGUCGUUUGGCCUAUUAUUGUGAGAGAUUUAAUGUCCCAUUUGAGUUCAAUGGUGUGGCAAAGAAAUGGGAUACUAUUAGACUUGGUGAUCUCAAGAUUCAGAGAGAUGAGGUGCUUGUUGUCAAUUGUGUGAACCGCUUGAGGUACGUGUCUGAUGAGACAGUAGUUGGGGACAGUCCAAGGGAUGCCGUUCUGAAAUUAAUCAAGGGGAUUUAUCCAGCUUUGUUCAUCCAUGGCAUUAUUAAUGGGUCAUACAAUGGCCCAUUUUUUGUCACGCGUUUCCGGGAGUUGCUCUUCCAAACAUAUUCAGGGUUUGAUAUGUUCGAUGCUAUUUUACCGCGUGAAGAUCAGGGGAGGAUGCUAUAUGAAAGAGAUGUCAUUGGGAGGAAUGCAAUGAGUGUAGUCUCUUGUGAGGGUACUGAAAGGAUUGUAAGGCCAGAGACAUAUAGGCAGUGGUCAAUUCGGAAUACAAAGGCUGGGCUCAAGCAACUCCCACUGGACCAUGAGAUAGUCAAGGAUGUGAGUGCUAAAGUCAAGUUGGGUUACCACGAGGAUUUUGUGGUGGAUGAGGACAUCAACUGGAUGCUGCAGGGAUGGAAGGGCCGAAUCAUAACUGCUAUCUCCUGUUGGAAACCUGCUCAAUAAAUGAAGUUUAGCACUAUCGACUACUUUUCUGGAGGGGUAACACGGUACGGAAAGCCGAAACUAUGAAUUUGUCCAUGAAGCUCUUCUCAUUUUGCACAAGGAAACACCUUCAUCACCAGAUCGCUCUAUUUUUCCGGAUCGAGCCAUUUCUGUGCAGUGUAGGGGCGUGGAAAGAGAUGUCCUUUGAUUAUUCAAGUGGGGAUUUGGAUUCAGAUGAAAUCGAUGUUGAGUUACAGAAAACGGGUAUUGAAGAAGAUAAGGUUGAGGACCCCAAUGAAGCCAACAAAGUUGACCCUAAUGAAGAAAACAAAGUUGAGGUUCCUAAAGUGGGAAUGGAAUUUAUUUCCCUUGAUGAGAUGUAUGGUUACUACUCAAGAUAUGCCAGGAAAAUUGGUUUGUCAGUGAUCAAAAGGAAUGUAAAGAGAGGAGCUAACAGGAAAUUUAAGUGUCUAAGACCCCCUUGUAGUCAUGCUGGAAAGCCAAAGAGAAACUAGUAACCCUGUGAGGCUGUGACCACAAACAAAGACAGAAUGCGAAGCAAGACCUAAUGCAGUUUGUUGCUCCAAUGGAAGUUGGAAGUUGAAUUCCUUGGUACUCGAUCAUAAUCACGAGAUGAGUCCGAGCAAAUCCCGGUUUUACAAGUCCAAUAGGGUAUCGAAUUCAUUUGUGAACAGGAGGCUUGAUAUUAAUGAUAUGGCUGGAAUUAGGAUCAACAAGAAGUUUACUUCAUUAUUGGUUGAGGGAGGGGAGUAUGAGAAGUUGGGAUUCUCAGAACAGGAUUGUAGGAAUCAUCUUCCAAAAUUUCGGCGGCUGAAGCUUAAGGUAGGAGAUGCAACUGCCAUGCACAAUUACUUUGGCAAAAUGCAAGCUUUUAACUCCUAACUUGUACUAUGCCAUGGAUGUGAAUGAAAAGGGUCGAUUGCGGAAUGUAUUUUGGGCUGAUGCAAGAAGUAUGGUGGAAGUUCAAGAUGCUAUUUUAAAUACCUUAGGACUACAUGAAGUUCAACAAAGUUCAAGAUCCAAUGAUUGUUGAAAUUCAAGAUGCUAGAAACAUUUUUUUGCGUGUUUUGGUCAAG